rnacentral:rRNA from 1 species
GACGAACGCUGGCGGCGUGCUUAACACAUGCAAGUCGAACGGAAAGGCCCUGCUUUUGUGGGGUGCUCGAGUGGCGAACGGGUGAGUAACACGUGAGUAACCUGCCCUUGACUUUGGGAUAAAUUCAGGAAACUGGGGCUAAUACCGGAUAGGAGCUCCUGCUGCAUGGUGGGGGUAGGAAAGUUUCGGCGGUUGGGGAUGGACUCGCGGCUUAUCAGCUUGUUGGUGGGGUAGUGGAUUACCAAGGCUUUGACGGGUAGCCGGCCUUAGAGGGUGACCGGCCACAUUGGGACUGAGAUACGGCCCAGACUCCUACGGGAGGCAGCAGGGGGGAAUAUGGCACAAUGGGCGGAAGCCUGAUGCAGCAACGCCGCGUGCGGGAUGACGGCCUUCGGGUUGUAAACCGCUUUCGCCUGUGAUGAAGCGAGAGUGACGGUAAUGGGUAAAGAAGCACCGGCUAACUACGUG